GUGCGUAGGCGGUUUGAUAAGUCUGAUGUGAAAUCUCUGGGCUCAACCCAGAGUCUGCAUUAGAAACUGUCGGGCUUGAGUAUGGGAGAGGUGAGUGGAAUUUCCGGUGUAGCGGUGAAAUGCGUAGAUAUCGGAAGGAACACCUGUGGCGAAAGCGGCUCACUGGACCAUAACUGACGCUGAUGCACGAAAGCUAGGGGAGCAAACAGGAUUAGAUACCCUGGUAGUCCUAGCCCUAAACGAUGAUUGCUUGGUGUGGCAGGUACCCAAUCCUGCCGUGCCGAAGCUAACGCGAUAAGCAAUCCGCCUGGGGAGUACGGUCGCAAGGCUGAA
rnacentral:rRNA from 1 species